rnacentral:rRNA from 1 species
UACAGAGGUCUCAAGCGUUGUUCGGAUUCAUUGGGCGUAAAGGGUGCGUAGGUGGCGCUGUAAGUCGGGUGUGAAAUUUCGGAGCUUAACUCCGAAACUGCAUUCGAUACUGCGGUGCUUGAGGACUGGAGAGGAGACUGGAAUUCAUGGUGUAGCGGUGAAAUGCGUAGAUAUCUGGAGGAACACCGGUGGCGAAGGCGGCGUCCUGGACCAAUACUGACACUGAAACGCGAAAGCCAGGGAGCAAACGGG